GCUGCGGAGUCGCCUUCCCAUGCACCAGCUCCGGCCAGGCCGGCCCUGCCCAGGGCUCUGGCGUGCCUGCAAAGAGAGCAGUUGGCCCCUGGGCUUCUGAGGUGGUCACAUACGUUGGCGUGUGUCUGCAAAGAUGAAAAAACUAAGACAAAAGGAAGUGAAGAGACUUGCUGAAGACACAUGGCAGAGAGACAGCCGAGUCCCCGGCAGCCUGAUGCUGACAUUCCACGCUCUUUCCAGCACAUUAACCUACAGAUGUUUCUCCGUCACACAUUCCACCACUGAGCUGCCCUCCCUGUCAGUCCGUUUCCCUCCGCUCCUUCCUAACAGCCCUGCUGCCACUGAGGAGCCUUUUGUCCAUUGUGCUGCGUGGUGGGAGAGCGGGCUGGAGGAGAAUCGAAUUUCCUUUCCGCGUCUGUUUGCUGGUGCCCAGUGCACCCUGGGACGCUAACCAACACUGACAGAUGAGCUGCAAUUGGCUGGUGUGUGAGAAGAACCACUGGACCAGGCAAAGGAAAGCAUCAGGGGUGAGCCAGGGGGAGGAGAGGCUGCUCUUGUGAAAGCCUACACAGGACCCCGCUGCAACCAGCCACCACACCGGGCCGUGGGCUCUGCCCUUUUGGAGGCCUCCCACCCAUCACCUCUGUGACCUGCACACAAGCCCAAGAAGCAGAGCUGUAAGGUCACCACGUCCCAUGCAGGCUGCCUCUCAGACGCCUCUGCGUUCUCUCCUCCGUUGCACUGCCACUGCCCUUUCAUCUCUCCUUCAACAGCUUCUCACCCUGCUCCCUGCUCCCUUCUCACCUGUCACUUUGCCCUCCAGCCCCUCUUGCCACCUGAGUGAUCCCUCCGCACUGCAAAUGUGUUCAUCCUGCAGUUGACUUCGCAGCCUCCACGGCCCCAGCAGGUACAGACUGAAGCCCACCUCCUGUGCAUUCAAGGAUCGCUAUGUCUCUCUGCAGGUUCCUUUCCACGAGUUCCCACCAUAUCCACCCUCCUCCAUUCCCCCAGCCAGUCGAGGCAAUGAUGUGCUUUCUGAAUACACUUCCAGGGGCCAUCCCUCUGCUCAGGCCACGGAAUCAGCCUGUACCCCUGCCUCUCCUGUCUUUAAGACCCAGCUCAGCACCACCUACUUCAGGGGCCCCUGCCCACUUGGCUGCCACUGUUUCCAUGGUGCUGUACCAAAUGCUGCGGCAGUCCUUACCCCCGAUCGGUCCUGGUUCUUCAUGCACCUGCCUCCUCUCCCAUGAUGGGAGCUUGUCACAUCUGGGGUUCAUGCCCUCUUACCGCCAUAUCCCCGUCACCCAACUUGGUUCUGGUACCUGGUAGGUGCUCAAAUGACACUGGUGAAGUUAAGGUGGCAGGUGAGGACACUGGUGCUCAGAGAGGUCAAGAAGGUGGACUGCACACCAUUUACCUGGUCAGAAGUCCAGUGGGGUCUCUCUCCUGUCACCGACCCUUCCAGCCUCUCUGCUUGCUUUGGGGUUUCAGCACCAUUCACAGCCCACAACCCACAUCUCUGUCUCCAGAACUGCACUUUUUUCCCUGUGAAAAUCUUUCUUCCUUCCCCACAACCUCUCCACCAGCUGCCCAACAGCCAUGGACCAGCGGGACUGUUGGGAAGCCAGGUCUGGGGGAGUAAGGCUCAGAAGCCACCAGAGACCCUUCACUCCAUGGAAAGCCCAUGAUGAAACUGACUCUGAAAAACAAGGCUCUUGAGGUGGCAAAGCAUAGCCACUCAUCCUAGCAAGCCCGUGCAUUGGGGUUUCACAGUAAGGAUCUGGGGAGCAGGGCAAAGACCAGAAUCUUCAUCCCCUCAACCAGUACUGGGUGGCAGCCAACUCCCCCACCCCACCCCACCCCACAUGCUUAUGGCCCCCUGGAGCACUCAGAAAUGAAGGUCCUUGCAGAUGUCAUUAGUGUGAGGAUAUUGAGAUGAGCUCGGCCCAAUGGCCGGUGUCCUUACAGAAGAGAGAAAGGAGAAGAUGCAGGCACAGGAGAGAAGGCCUCAUGAAGAUCCCAUGAAGACAGAGGCAGGGGUUGGAAUUGUGUGUCCAUAGGCCCGAAGCACCCAGGGGUGCUAGGAGAGAGGCCUGAAUGGACUCCCAGAGCCUCCAGAAGAAUCCAGCCCU